rnacentral:rRNA from 1 species
CUAGAGCUAAUACAUGCUGUAAAACCUGACUUUCGGAAAGGUUGUAUUUAUUAGAUAUCAAACCAAUAAUCUUUCGGGAUUAUUGUGAUGAUUCAUAAUAACUGAUCGGAUCAAGGUGUACCUUGAUAGAUCAUUCAAGUUUCUGCCCUAUCAGCUUUCGAUGGUAGUGUAUUGGACUACCAUGGCAGUCACGGGUAACGGAGAAUUAGGGUUCGAUUCCGGAGAGGGAGCCUGAGAAACGGCUACCACAUCUACGGAAGGCAGCAGGCGCGUAAAUUACCCCAAUCCUGAUUCAGGGAGGUAGUGACAAGAAAUAACAACUCGGGGCCUCACGGCUUACGAGAUUGCAAUGAGAACAAUUUAAAUCUCUUAGCGAGGAACAAUUGGAGGGCAAGUCUGGUGCCAGCAGCCGCGGUAAUUCCAGCUCCAAUAGCGUAUAUUAAAGUUGUUGCAGUUAAAAAGCUCGUAGUUGAAUUUCUGAUUAUGGAUGUAGCGGUUUCCGUUACAUUUGUAGUC